rnacentral:rRNA from 1 species
CGAUGAGUAGGGCGGGACACGUGGUAUCCUGUCUGAAUAUGGGGGGACCAUCCUCCAAGGCUAAAUACUCCUGACUGACCGAUAGUGAACCAGUACCGUGAGGGAAAGGCGAAAAGAACCCCGGCGAGGGGAGUGAAAAAGAACCUGAAACCGUGUACGUACAAGCAGUGGGAGCACGCUUAGGCGUGUGACUGCGUACCUUUUGUAUAAUGGGUCAGCGACUUAUAUUCUGUAGCAAGGUUAACCGAAUAGGGGAGCCGAAGGGAAACCGAGUCUUAACUGGGCGUUAAGUUGCAGGGUAUAGACCCGAAACCCGGUGAUCUAGCCAUGGGCAGGUUGAAGGUUGGGUAACACUAACUGGAGGACCGAACCGACUAAUGUUGAAAAAUUAGCGGAUGACUUGUGGCUGGGGGUGAAAGGCCAAUCAAACCGGGAGAUAGCUGGUUCUCCCCGAAAGCUAUUUAGGUAGCGCCUCGUGAAUUCAUCUCCGGGGGUAGAGCACUGUUUCGGCAAGGGGGUCAUCCCGACUUACCAACCCGAUGCAAACUGCGAAUACCGGAGAAUGUUAUCACGGGAGACACACGGCGGGUGCUAACGUCCGUCGUGAAGAGGGAAACAACCCAGACCGCCAGCUAAGGUCCCAAAGUCAUGGUUAAGUGGGAAACGAUGUGGGAAGGCCCAGACAGCCAGGAUGUUGGCUUAGAAGCAGCCAUCAUUUAAAGAAAGCGUAAUAGCUCACUGGUCGAGUCGGCCUGCGCGGAAGAUGUAACGGGGCUAAACCAUGCACCGAAGCUGCGGCAGCGACGCUGAUGCGUUGUUGGGUAGGGGAGCGUUCUGUAAGCCUGCGAAGGUGUGCUGUGAGGCAUGCUGGAGGUAUCAGAAGUGCGAAUGCUGACAUAAGUAACGAUAAAGCGGGUGAAAAGCCCGCUCGCCGGAAGACCAAGGGUUCCUGUCCAACGUUAAUCGGGGCAGGGUGAGUCGACCCCUAAGGCGAGGCCGAAAGGCGUAGUCGAUGGGAAACAGGUUAAUAUUCCUGUACUUGGUGUUACUGCGAAGGGGGGACGGAGAAGGCUAUGUUGGCCGGGCGACGGUUGUCCCGGUUUAAGCGUGUAGGCUGGUUUUCCAGGCAAAUCCGGAAAAUCAAGGCUGAGGCGUGAUGACGAGGCACUACGGUGCUGAAGCAACAAAUGCCCUGCUUCCAGGAAAAGCCUCUAAGCAUCAGGUAACAUCAAAUCGUACCCCAAACCGACACAGGUGGUCAGGUAGAGAAUACCAAGGCGCUUGAGAGAACUCGGGUGAAGGAACUAGGCAAAAUGGUGCCGUAACUUCGGGAGAAGG